UACGUAGGGUGCAAGCGUUGUCCGGAAUUAUUGGGCGUAAAGAGCUCGUAGGCGGUUUGUCGCGUCUGCUGUGAAAACCCAGGGCUUAACCCUGGGCCUGCAGUGGGUACGGGCAAACUAGAGUGCGGUAGGGGAGAUCGGAAUUCCUGGUGUAGCGGUGAAAUGCGCAGAUAUCAGGAGGAACACCGGUGGCGAAGGCGGGUCUCUGGGCCGAUACUGACGCUGAGGAGCGAAAGCGUGGGGAGCGAACAGG
rnacentral:rRNA from 1 species